GCCGAAGGCGAAGGCUUGAUGUUUCUGAAGUGUUUUGGGGGAGAAGUAUAAGAUGUGAAGAGUUGUUGAAUUCUGCCAGAGCACUGUUACAGAAGCUAGCUGAUCUGUGGGACUUCUGUCAAGUUGAGAGGUGCUUUGGAUGCUACCCUACCUUGAGCCCUGUUCUUCACUGGGAGCUGAAGCUCCAGAGAGAGGAUGGGAUGAAGAACAAAGCUGCCAUUACCUUAUACAGUGAGCUCUAUCUUCGGUGGUACCAGAACACCAGAAUCGUCUUGGAUGCUUUGAUCUGGAGAUCAGUGCAAGGGAGGACUGGAGACCCCUCUACGUGAGAUUAUAGUAGCUGAAGACUGCUUCUGGUGGGGAUUUCAGUGUGGAGUCCUCAUACUUCUGAAAUACCAGCUAAACUACUCUGCAGCAGCUGUUGGGAACAGGCUGGGUCCUGUUAAGUCCUAUCUUGAGUGCUGCAGUAAUACUCUAACUGUGCAAAACCUGGAAUACUUCAUAAGCCUUCCAUUAGUUACAGAUAGCUUCUUGGAAAUAACUAGACUGAGACACCAGAGCUGUAGAUCAAAUAGUCUCAUCUUCAUGACCACUGUAGUCAUUUCAGUACUGUGCAAAACAGAAGCAUAAGUUUUUGUUGUGUUGAUAUUGCUUUUCCUCCUGAAGUUUCUAUAUUGGCAGGAAUCUACUUGGAAAUACCUGGUGUGACCCACCAAUCACUCUUCACCCACACUCUCUACCAGCUAGAGAAGGGAUACAUUGAAUAAAGGGGAGUAUUAACAAGCACAGGUGAUUAAUCUAGACUGAAUUUAGGGAGGAAAACAGGGUUAACACCCCUACACUUUCAUCUUUCUGGAAAUCACCUCCCGGCCCAUUACCCAAAUGAUAAAAGCUCUUACACACCACUUGCAGUAACUGCUUGGAUUUCCAUGUGCUGUACUAGUCCUGAGUAUGCUCAGACUUGCUUAAGAUGGGAAUAAGGUACAUGGUUUUUUCCAGAUCUGCUUCCGGAUGAGAAGGUGAUGGUUUUUAUUGUGCAAAUUUUGGAAACCAAAUACAAGCUCUAUCGUCAAAGUGGGGGGGUGGUCUGGAGUACCUAUUGGUAUUUCCUGUUGGUCAGACUUUCAUAUACGGAGGAGCUGUUUCUAUUGGUCCUAUUGGCCUGACACGGCAACCAAUCAAAUCAUUUUCUAGAUAGCCGGUGACAACGCUGGGUGACCAUCUUUAUAUACUCCUCCUGAGAGAGGACCUGAAGGCUGCUGCUUCUGGGAAGGAGAGAUCCUGCACACUGAGCUUGUUAGAGGACACAGCUGCCACAAUGCAGUCUGUUCUCACUCCUCCACCUGGUUCGUGGUGACUGAGCUGCUGCUACAUAUAAGUCAGUGACCCAGGAGAGCUGCACUGAGGGGUGGGUGAAGUGUGUCCCCUCCUGUCGGUGAAGUGCCCUGGACUCCUGUGGGCAGUGCUGACGAGCACAGGCCUUUACCCUGAGUCCCUGAGCUGUGAGGAUCAUGAGGACACCUGGACAGUCAACACAGUCUGCAGCUUCACCUGUAUAAGAGGUCACUCUUAACAGCAGUUUCUUACAUCGUUCGCAGGGAGUUAUGAUGCAGGGUUUUCUCUUUCAGUGGAUUAAAAAAAUUCACAUUCCCAGUUUCUGGAACAAAUGUUGAUAUAAAAAGAUUGAAUUGUUAGGAAAACAAUACAGUGAUCAUUCUAUCACUUGAUA